rnacentral:rRNA from 1 species
CAACUUUCAGCAACGGAUCUCUUGGCUCUCGCAUCGAUGAAGAACGCAGCGAAAUGCGAUAAGUAAUGUGAAUUGCAGAAUUCAGUGAAUCAUCGAAUCUUUGAACGCACCUUGCGCCCCUUGGCAUUCCGAGGGGCAUGCCUGUUUGAGUAUCAUG